CAUACACCACUUCAUGCAAUCAUUUCUAUAGUAUGUGUCCUCAGUUUCACAUCCAAUAUGUGAAGUCAGUCUUAACUGCGAUGACCAGUGUAUGACAUACCUGUCUGAGCGCGAUAUCGACCCAAUGUUUAUCGCCGACUGUGUCGGCAGUUGUGGUCAUUGAUGACCGUUCCAUAACAUUCUAUGUAAUGGGAGGACAGGUAUGGGUUCUGUAUGGG